ACUUCACCGGCUUCAACUGUUUUAAGCUUUGAACAUGUCCAUUUUCAUGUUUGGUUUCACUUUACUCAGGUUUUAAAACCUCAAAGUGCUUUCUCUCACAGGACCGAGACUUUUGCCUGCUCCGCCCCGGAGAGCCCCUCUUCCAGACGUUCUCAGGAGAAACAGUGAAAUACCAGGGCGACGAAGCGCUCUACGCUUUCUUCAUCAAUGAAUGCGCUUAUUACAAGAAAGGCAUCGCGCUGUCUCUGGCCAGGAAGAGACGUGUGAGCGUCCCUUCUAUCCGUGUGCAAACGGACGAGGAAGAACGAGCGAGCGAGCAGAGUUUUGCAUCAGAGGAAGAGGAGUGAAGACUUUUUAUUUAUUUAUUUGUUUUUAUUGAAAUGACAACACGUACAAGCCUUGCAUAUGCGCACACAUAUUUACAAAAAGUUUCACUUUAGGUUCACAAACAUGUUUCAACAAAUCAUUCAGGGAUAGAAGAGCCGUUUGUGUUUGAUGCUUGGAUGAGUAAAAUACAAUCCAACUCAGCAGAACUUUUAUCAAAUCAUUCGGAAAUGUCAUGAAACUUUGGAAAACGAUGCUCAUCUGUUACCAUCCAGCAAGUGUGUCUAUUUCCUCCAGAUUUAUUUAUAUUUAUCUAUCGAUGUAAAAUUACAUGAAUAUUCAGGAUAUGAUCAAAGUAAUGUAAAAUUGCAGAACAAAUUCAGCAGUUUUUCCACAUAUGGCCUUAAAGUACAUUCAUAAUUAAAAAGGGGCGGACAUACUCUCCCUUAUUUCUGAUGACUUUCUUUCACAGCAGUGAUGUUUAGCGAUCAAAGAAACAUCAAACACAAAGCAGGAAACGAAACCACAAAAACAGCCAGAUGGACAAAACAGAAGGUUUUAAAUGAAAUGUUUCCCCCUACAAAAUCAGAUCAAAUGUUACAAAUGUGCAUGAAAAGUAACAAAACGACAUACCUUGUAUAUAUAAA